rnacentral:rRNA from 1 species
CUAUACAUGCAAGUCGAGCGAAUGGAUUAAGAGCUUGCUCUUAUGAAGUUAGCGGCGGACGGGUGAGUAACACGUGGGUAACCUGCCCAUAAGACUGGGAUAACUCCGGGAAACCGGGGCUAAUACCGGAUAACAUUUUGAACCGCAUGGUUCGAAAUUGAAAGGCGGCUUCGGCUGUCACUUAUGGAUGGACCCGCGUCGCAUUAGCUAGUUGGUGAGGUAACGGCUCACCAAGGCAACGAUGCGUAGCCGACCUGAGAGGGUGAUCGGCCACACUGGGACUGAGACACGGCCCAGACUCCUACGGGAGGCAGCAGUAGGGAAUCUUCCGCAAUGGACGAAAGUCUGACGGAGCAACGCCGCGUGAGUGAUGAAGGCUUUCGGGUCGUAAAACUCUGUUGUUAGGGAAGAACAAGUGCUAGUUGAAUAAGCUGGCACCUUGACGGUACCUAACCAGAAAGCCACGGCUAACUACGUGCCAGCAGCCGCGGUAAUACGUAGGUGGCAAGCGUUAUCCGGAAUUAUUGGGCGUAAAGCGCGCGCAGGUGGUUUCUUAAGUCUGAUGUGAAAGCCCACGGCUCAACCGUGGAGGGUCAUUGGAAACUGGGAGACUUGAGUGCAGAAGAGGAAAGUGGAAUUCCAUGUGUAGCGGUGAAAUGCGUAGAGAUAUGGAGGAACACCAGUGGCGAAGGCGACUUUCUGGUCUGUAACUGACACUGAGGCGCGAAAGCGUGGGGAGCAAACAGGAUUAGAUACCCUGGUAGUCCACGCCGUAAACGAUGAGUGCUAAGUGUUAGAGGGUUUCCGCCCUUUAGUGCUGAAGUUAACGCAUUAAGCACUCCGCCUGGGGGAGUACGGCCGCAAGGCUGAAACUCAAAGGAAUUGACGGGGGGCCCGCACAAGCGGUGGGAGCAUGUGGUUUUAAUUCGAAAUCAACGCGAAAGAACCUUUACCAGGUCCUGGACAUCCUCUGAAAACCCUAAGAGAUAGGGCUUUCUUCCUUCGGGCAGCAGAAGUGACAAGGUGGUUGCAUGGGUUGUCCGUCAGCUUCUUGUCCCUGAAGAUGUUUGAGUUUAAGUCGCCGCAACCCACCGCCACCCCUUGGAUCUUAGUUGGCCAUCAUUAAAAUUGGGUCAAUCUUAGGGUGAACUGCCCGUUGAACAAGCCCGGAAAGAAAAGUUGGGAGAUGAAGGGCCGAUUCAAUCAUUGCCCACUUUAUGAACCCGGUGUCUUAAACGC